CGUCUUUCAAACAGCAGUCCUCUGCUUUGUGACCAUGUUGUAUUUUCUGGCCACACGGGGGUAUUGUCUGCUGCGUGAACUUGUGCAGGGAAGUUUGUGAAGAGGUUCACUCCAAACUCAGACCGUUUCUUCAACUCUGCUACAUACAGUACCAGUCAAAGAAUCUGACUGGCAAUUUUGACACAUCCAAAGAGAGGGACCGUUGUCCCUCAGGAAAGGUGCAGCACGUUUUGCGCUCCAUCCAUGGUAUGACUCAGCAGUUCCUGUGCCAGGGCCGCAGGCAGGGCAUUAGACAACAGGGGGGCAUGGAGAAGCCAGUGGAGAUGAUGGAACAGCUGAUCAGACAGAACUGCAAACACACUGACCUGGUGAGAAGACAGAAGAGAGCUGCCCCGUGUGUGACUUCCCAGAGAACGAAGGGAAAGAAGAAGAAGAGGAUAAGACUCAUCAGAGCACUGAUAGACUGUUGGCAGAAGCUGCAGAGUGUGUACUUGCCCACAAAAUGAAUGGGAAAUACUAUGUUUUUCAUUUUCCCAAUUGUUUAAAAAAGAGCCUGUAUGGAUUGUGUUUAAUUUGGUUCUCAUUUUGUAUAGUAGAACCACAUUUGUAUGUCAGGGAUGGUGCUCUCUGUUUAUGGCCUUUCUUCUUAUACUGUAGUUCCUCAUCUAUAAACUACAGCGCACAAUAGAUCAUCUGAAUUAAAGGUAGACUCAGCGAUAUGACGUAGAUGCAGAAAGUAAACAGCGUGAAGCAAACCCGUGCACAUGGACAGAUACUGUGUCUGACAGCGUGAGAGCGAAAUGCUGCAUCUCUCAUCUCAAUAUCUCCGGUGUUGCUCGAGGCGAUGACAUUUUGCUGACUCUACCUUUAAUAAUGGUUGUUAGAGGAUGGUAUACAAUGCAAUUAAAAUAUUUACUUGUAAUAGUUUGUGCACACACAUAAAAAAUAUAUUAUCUCAUAAUCCAGAGAUUGCGAUCCUUUUUCUUAAACAUAUUUGGUGCUGUUCUAUAAAAUUAAUCAGUUAUUCAAGCUGCCCACAGCUAAUAAAGGUUUCUCA
rnacentral:lncRNA from 1 species